GACGAACCGUGCGAACGUUGUUCGGAAUCACUGGGCUUAAAGGGCGCGUAGGCGGUCUAUCAAGUCGGGGGUGAAAUCUUUCGGCUCAACCGGAAAACUGCCUUUGAUACUGAUAGGCUGGAGGGAGGUAGGGGUUGCAGGAACUACCAGUGGAGCGGUGAAAUGCGUUGAUAUUGGUAGGAACGCCGGUGGCGAAAGCGCGCAACUGGACCUUUUCUGACGCUGAGGCGCGAAAGCUAGGGGAGCAAACGGG
rnacentral:rRNA from 1 species